rfam:Canis lupus familiaris chromosome 30, whole genome shotgun sequence.
CGGGGGAGGCCGGAUCCUGGGUGUGUCCCGGCGCCCUGUGCUCCGGAGCCUGCGCUGUUGGAUUCGCGCUCCAGGGCUGCAGCCACCU